CCCUUCUAGACUACAAGCUCCACGAGGGCAAAGAACUUUCCAUCUUCCUCACCAGACCUCCAGAAACUGCCAUGAUGCAUUUUACAUAGAAAACACUCAACUAAUAAGGGUUAAAAAACUGUCCUUUCUACAUAUUUGCCCCCCAAAUUCUACUUCUAGGAAUUUUUCCUGAGAAAAGAAAGAACAAAUGUGCUCUAAACUCUUCACAAAGACAGGGGAAUCAAGAGUUGAGCAUGAAAACACUCUCCGAAAUGGUCUACCCAUUGGUUGGAUUCCGUUCUUAAAUUCUUGUUCCUGAGAAUCAAGAGCGUAGCUGGUCAUUCGCCGAUCUUUGCGCCUAUGUCUGGAAGGCAGACUUUUCACUUUUGCACUCAAGAGUUGACAUCUCCAGUUUGAUCAGAGCACACUUUCUCUCAGAUCCUGCAUGAGAUCUCACCACAGAGCUCAC
rnacentral:lncRNA from 12 species